rnacentral:ncRNA from 1 species
CUUAUCAAGAGUGGUGGAGGGACCGGCCCCAUGAAACCACGGCAACCUGCUCAGCAAGGUGCCAAAUCCGACGAUGAUCGAAAGAUGAGG